GUUCCUCAUCCGUGCUUGCUUGAACCCGCGGAUACAGAGGGCAGACUACAGGACCUGAGCAUCCGCAGAUUUUGGUAUCCACAGAGGGACAACUGUACUGGGCCUUCAACAAUGGGCUCCUGCACAGAGCUUGAAACCCAGAAGCUUCUGCUAAUUGACGUAAUGAUUGCUACUAAGGAGAAACUGAGAUAUUUUCCUAGCAUUUGCCUCUCUUGCCAGCCUGAUUCAAAUCUGUUGGACUUCAAGAUGAGAAAACUUGGGGGAAAAAAAGAGAAGUGACAGUUUCUUGUUAAAAGAGACGCAUAAAUUCCUGAAACCAGGAAAGUCCCAGCCAGAUUGUGAGUUGUGAGCACCAGAGCUACACCAGGUUGCCCUACCUGAGGUAUCUGGGAAUAAGAAAGAUUCAGAGAGAUGAGAAACAGAUGUUCAGAGAAGUUUAUUUGGGACUUCAAUUUCCAGCCAAGAUGGAAUAACAAGAAUGGGAUUUAGCUUCCCAAAACAACUACAAAAACAAAAACAGACUAAAUACAUGAAGAAACAGUUUUUAAGACAGUAAAUAUCAGUCAAUGAGGGUAACAGAGAGAGAGGAAACAAAUAAGCGUUUACAAGCAGUCAUCACCAGCAGCAGCAGUUAUUGAGAGCUCUCCAUGUGAGUCAAUCUGCAGAGCGUCACUCACCUCCUGCACACUGCAAUGGUAAGGACCAAAACCCAAUUCCCUAUAACUCACUUUAUUCCACAGUCUGUAAACUCUAAACUAAGUUCCACAAGCCUAUACCAUGCACAUGUAUAUUGUAUCUGGUGCUUGUUAAGUAAAAACUGACAUGCUUCGUGCUUGAUGCAUUGAAAAGCCUCACCUGUCCUUUCCCUCGCCCUGUGUCCCUCCCUCAUUCUGUGUUGAAUUAAUGAUGAACUAAUACACUUUUAUACAACUUCACAUAUAAAAGUGUAUAACCUCUACACAUCCAUAUCAAAAUUAAGAUAUCGGACAUUGCAGGCACUAUUAAAUUAUCUACUAUGUAUAUAAACAUACACAUUUUAUAGACAAUUUCCUAUUUCCAGUAAGUUCGUAAUAUAAAGUCUCCCAAUUUGAUUCCUUGCUGUAAACUGAGCAUUAUCUCUGAUCACGACUAGAUGUACAUUAUUAGGGAUGAAAAGCUGAGAUAAGCAAAAGUGAUGAUGUAAUUCCCAUCCAUAGCUAUGAAUUGGUAAAUCCUAUGGUGAUUUUAUUUGUGACAAUAGGCAUUCGCGUUGCAAUUACUCUGAACAAUUGAGUUGAGAUAUGGGCAAGUGUCAAGGUCAUUAUGAAGAAAAUGGGUUGUGGCAUGCUGUGCUGGUAUUAUUGAGAAAAAGAAAGGAAGAAAGGAAGGGAAGGAGGGACAGAGGGAGGAAAUUGCAUAUAAUUCAUUCGACAUUUAUCAUCCAUUGAUUUAUUUUGGUGAAUUAUCUAUUCCUUUUUUGUUCUUUCUUUUUUUGUUUAGAACUCAGUAGAAAAGUGCAGAAAAGAAACAUUUAACAAAAAACAGGAAACCUACUACACAGAAUAGGAAAUUAUUAACAUUUUGUCAUUUUUGCCUUAUGUUUUUUAGAUAAAAUAAAUGAAACAUUGCAGGUAAAAUUGAAGUAAUCUUUGUCCCCAUUCCAAAUUCUACUUCAUUCUCUCCAUCCACACACACACACACACACACACACAC
rnacentral:lncRNA from 1 species